rnacentral:rRNA from 1 species
CCUACGGGUGGCAGCAGUGGGGAAUAUUGGACAAUGGGCGAAAGCCUGAUCCAGCCAUGCCGCGUGUGUGAAGAAGGCCUUCGGGUUGUAAAGCACUUUCAGUGGGGAAGAAAGCCUUGGGGCUAAUACCCUCGAGGAAGGACAUCACCCACAGAAGAAGCACUGGCUAACUCCGUGCCAGCAGCCGCGGUAAUACGGAGGGUGCGAGCGUUAAUCGGAAUUACUGGGCGUAAAGCGCGCGUAGGCGGUCUGAUAAGCCGGUUGUGAAAGCCCCGGGCUCAACCUGGGAACGGCAUCCGGAACUGUCAGGCUAGAGUGCAGGAGAGGAAGGUAGAAUUCCCGGUGUAGCGGUGAAAUGCGUAGAGAUCGGGAGGAAUACCAGUGGCGAAGGCGGCCUUCUGGACUGACACUGACGCUGAGGUGCGAAAGCGUGGGUAGCAAACAGGAUUAGAUACCCUGGUAGUC